rnacentral:rRNA from 1 species
CCUACGGGUGGCAGCAGUGAGGAAUAUUGGUCAAUGGCCGGAAGGCUGAACCAGCCAAGCCGCGUGAAGGACGAAGGUGCCAAGCAUUGUAAACUUCUUUUGUCAAGGGACAAAAUCAGGCUCGAGUGCCUGACUGAGGGUACCUGAAGAAAAAGCAUCGGCUAACUCCGUGCCAGCAGCCGCGGUAAUACGGAGGAUGCGAGCGUUAUCCGGAUUUAUUGGGUUUAAAGGGUGCGUAGGCGGUCUGUUAAGUCAGCGGUAAAAGCCCGGGGCUCAACCCCGGCGAGCCGUUGAAACUGGCUGACUUGAGAUGACGAGCGGUAGGCGGAAUGCGUGGUGUAGCGGUGAAAUGCUUAGAGAU